rnacentral:rRNA from 1 species
UACGUAGGGCGCGAGCGUUAUCCGGAAUUAUUGGGCGUAAAGAGCUCGUAGGCGGUUUGUCGCGUCUGCUGUGAAAACUGGAGGCUCAACCUCCAGCCUGCAGUGGGUACGGGCAGACUCGAGUGCGGUAGGGGAGAUUGGAAUUCCUGGUGUAGCGGUGGAAUGCGCAGAUAUCAGGAGGAACACCGAUGGCGAAGGCGGGCAUCUGGGCCAACACUGACGCUGAGGCGCGAAAGCUAGGGGAGCAAACAGG